ensembl:snRNA U2 U2 spliceosomal RNA
AUCGCUUCUCGUCCUUUUGGGUAAGAUCAAGUGUAGUAUCUGUUCUUAUCAGUUUAAUAUCUGAUACAUCCCCCAUCGGGGGACCACAUAUUAAACGGAUUUUUGGAACAGGUAUCUGGAUUAAGAGCUUGCUCCAUCCUCCAUCCGGAAUUUCCCUCACGGGAUCAAUAAAG